rnacentral:lncRNA from 1 species
AAGAUGCAAUAGAGAGAAAUCGUCAUACAAAUGAGUUCAAGGAGAAGGGCCUUAGCCAACAGUACAUCAAGAGAGGAUCUCCAUAACAAGCCUGUGGAUCAUCACUACAAAUCAACAAAGAAACACAACAAGCAAAAAGAGGAACAAAAGCAGGAAUCAACCUCCUGUAUACAACCCAUAAGGAUUGUUCCUCACUUCAGCCAGCAGUGCCACCGUGUCAGGAUGAUCUGGAGAUUCUGCCAAACGCCGAAUAAGCAAAUUUCUC